CAGAAACACCUGAAACACAAACCAACAGUUGAAACAAAAACCAAUAGCAAACAAACUCCACAGCAUGAAAGAACUGUGAAUCUGAAAGUGAUUUUCUGGCCUUUCUUCAUGUAGCAGGGUAGUGUUAUCUGUUUUUGGCCCGGUUUGGAUCUGAUUGGUGGACCAAUGAGAUGUAAGCAGCCCUACUACUUAAGGAUUCUUAUUUUGAGGGGUAGCGUGGUGUCUGGUUGAUUAUGAGCUCUUCUCUUCCUGGCAUUCCCCUUUCCGUUCCUCACUGCGUCAGUUUGAUUUUAGAGUGGGGCUGGUGGCAUCGAUAUUGCGGCAAGUGUGUGGCGGAGUUCGCUUCCAGUAAUGGUGACACAAGCGGAUGCGUGAAUGCUGUCUGGUACGUUGAGUCACACUUGUUGGAGUAACCAUAUAGCUUUGCGCUGGUCUUCGUUCAACCCUAACCGAGCCAGUGAGGACUCUGUGUGGGGCAGGGGAGGCUAGCCGCUUUCCUUCCAUGGUGUGUCUCACGGGGUGUUGUGUGUGUGUGUGUGUGUGUGUGUGUGUGUUGGUACAAUUUGCUUUACUGUGUGUGUGUGAGGUGCUUGCUGUGGUGUGAAUUUAGGUGGGUUUGGAUGACCUCCCGAGUUGCAGCCGGCCUGCCCUGUUCCCACUAAGCCUAGCCCUGGAGUUAUUUUAAUAAUCUGGUGGUGUUUCUGGAGAGAGAGAGAGAGAUUUUAUUGAUAUUAUUAUAAUAAAGUGUAUUUUUGUAUUGACACUCAUGUCUC